GACGAACGCUGGCGGCGUGCUUAACACAUGCAAGUCGAACGGAAAGGCCCUGCUUUUGUGGGGUGCUCGAGUGGCGAACGGGUGAGUAACACGUGAGUAACCUGCCCUUGACUUUGGGAUAACUUCAGGAAACUGGGGCUAAUACCGGAUAGGAGCUCCUGCUGCAUGGUGGGGGUUGGAAAGUUUCGGCGGUUGGGGAUGGACUCGCGGCUUAUCAGCUUGUUGGUGGGGUAGUGGCUUACCAAGGCUUUGACGGGUAGCCGGCCUGAGAGGGUGAACGGCCACAAUGGGCCUGAGAUACGGCCCAGACUCCUACGGGAGGCAACAGUGGGGAAUAUUGCACAAUGGGCGGAAGCCUGAUGCAGCAACGCCGCGUGCGGGAUGACGGCCUUCGGGUUGUAAACCGCUUUCGCCUGUGACGAAGCGUGAGUGACGGUAAUGGGUAAAGAAGCACCGGCUAACUACGUG
rnacentral:rRNA from 1 species